AUGUGCUGCCACUGCAGUGGACAUAGCUCCCGACAACAGAUGCAGCAUCACCGUAACGGUAAGUUUUUUGUAAGUAGUUUGAAACUUUGGAGUGAGUGGUUACAUGACUUCCUUCAAUAUUGCAAACUUUCUGAACUUCAUGAUGUUCCAUUUCAGAACCACGACAAAAAAAAGUCCAGGGGCAGGACGCUGCCUGCCAGACCCGAUGCCCAGGAUAUGCAGCAUCCCAGGUAAUAUUUAGAAAUCUUUCAUGGGGGGAACUCAUC